GAGGGGAGGGGAAGCCAGGGACUGGAAAGGAACUAAUGUUAAUUUAAAAGUGUGCUUCUCAGUUCUGAGCAUGCUCAGUGGGGCUCGGCUCUGCUCUACCAGGUCCAGCCUCUAAAUUUGAACAGGAGAGUUGUGAGGUGACUGUGUCCGAGCAGACUUUUGUGCCACACAUUCUCUGUCUCUGUCAUGCUCUCUCGCUGCACAGCUCUCUCCUUUCGUUUUCUUUGCCCCUUUUGUUUUGGUGUGGAGAGAUAGCCGAGGGAGGAAGACUAGACAAAACAGCUGAAAGAAGCAAGAAAAUGAACAGACUAACUUUGCCUCAGAAACAGUGGAUCUGGAGGGACUAACUUCAAAAGAAAGGCAAGAGGAAGCUGGUGUGAAGUAUGAGCAGGAAGGAGAGAUGAGAAACCCGUGGUCUUCUGAUAAGGACAAUGACCCAACACACCUCCAGGCUGUGUAAGGGCUAUUUGACCAAGAAGGAGAGUGAUGGAGUGCUGCAUCAGAUGACCUGGCCUCCACAAUCACCCAACCUCAACCCAAUUGAGCUGGUUCGGGAUGAGUUGGACUGCAGAGUGAGGGAAAAGCAGCCAUCAGCUCAGCAUAUGUGGGAACUCCUUCAAGACGGUUGGAAAAGCAUUCCAGGUGAAGCUGGUUGAGAGAAUGCUAAGAAUGUGUAAAGCUGUAAUCAAGGCAAAGGGUGGCUACUUCGAAGAAUCUAAACUUUAAAAUAUAUUUAGAUUUGUUUAACACUUUGGUUACUACAUGAUUCCAUAUGAGUUAUUUCAUAGUUUGAUGUCUUCACUUUUAUUCUACAACAUAGAAAAUAUUUUCAAAAAUUAGGUGUGUCCAAACUUUUGACUGGUACUGUAUUUAAGAUAUUAGAUAUACUAUUUAUAAGCUAUUUAUGUUUAAUUCAAUUAUAGGUUGAACAUGAUGAUCAGGUAGGUAGUUUUCAAUUGGCUACUGUAUAUUUGUAUGUAUUAUAGUUUUCUAAUCAAAUCCUACAUCCCAGUCUUUAAGAGACAGUAAAUGCCAAGACUCCAUAGUCUCUCCUCCAUUGCCACAUACAGUAUUUGCCUUACCAAGUUCACUAGAAAAGUUCCUCCUCUGCCUGCUUUGUUGCACGUUUCCUCCUGGCUUCCUCUCUCUGCUGAACCGUUAAAAACAAGCUUUUUUCUCGCCUGGGUCUGUCUAUAUGAAACUACAGAUGUAGGAUCUUAAUUUGAGCCAGUUUGCUACAUCAGGAAAAUACUCCUGCAGCUACAGGCAAUGGAAAUUAUUAUGGGAAUUAUAAUUAAUGGACAUUUUUGUAGGGGUUGAUUAUUUUUUUGUAAGGGAAAAUCAAGUCUGAAAUGACAAAAUGACAAAAUACACUACAUGUCUUACAUUUCCUGCUAUGCAGGAAAGUUAUCCUGCAUAAAGGUGAUCAAGUUAAGAUCCUACACCUGUAUGCACAGCCCCUGUAGCUGCAAUAUAUUGUGGAGUGGGCAGAACUGUCUGUUUCUUACUAAGGGAAUUGUUACUGCCCAUAGUGCACAGCCAAGCUGCGAUUGUUUAAGAAAAAGAGAAGUGGGUCUGUUCUGUCGGGUAGCGUAGCGGAGGUGCUAUUGGGUGCACCGUACCUUUGUUCUCCUGUGUUUCCCAUGUCCUAUAGGCAGGCUCCUGUUGAAUGAUUGGUGUGAGAGGUUUAAUGAGCUGCUGAAGACAGGUCUUCACAUCUGACCCAGUGCCUUAUUAAAACACACUGGAUGUAUGUGCGAGCAAACGCACACACGCUCAUGACUGGACAAUGACCGCAUGCGGGGGAAAAAACACUUCCCAUAUUCUGAAAAGUGCGCAAGGCUGCAUAUGAAAAUACAAAACAGUACUCAUCGCAUUACAGUUGCAGUACUCUGUCCCAAACUUUGUGAUGGAUUACUAUGAAAAAAUUCGGAAAAUUAAUGAAACACACACAACAAAGAGUCGGACGAAAGCUCUGGAGCGAGGGAUUGACAGAGAGAGAAAAGAAGAAGAGAAGCGUGGCGGCGAUUUGGCAGCUGCCCGGUGCCCAGCUGCAUUGGAAAAAUCCUGCCGCCUUUUCCUUUGCGAUGGUUCCCUCCCGGAGUGGUUUGUUUGGGGAACUGAUGUCCUGGGUGGGUGUCUAGCUACGCUCCCCUGCGGCAGAGCUGGUUGCUGGGGCUGUGACUGUGGCUGUACCUCCUGGGGAGCUGAGGAAUGGAGGUCUGGCCACAGAACCAGAGACAGUAUCCAUAGAAGCCAAUGAGUGGAAGAGAGCAGCCUCACAUGAUGAUUAGCACCACUUCUGGACUAUGCUGUACUCUAGAGGCUGUGGACUGUGUAGAGACUGGGAGACGAGUGGAGGCAGGUUGCAAAAAGGGACAAGGGCUGGUGCCUCCUCAUUACGAACCAGACCUAGACCCAGUCGGUAUCAGAUGUGGUGACCCCACUUGGUGACCCUGCCCGCCUGUGGGGAAAACAACCUGUGGUUACCAUGUUGGUUCACAGCAAAAACUUGACCUUUUUCAAAUGUAUUUUUCUUGCUGUCUGCUUGUUUUAGUCAAUUACAAAACUACAUUUAAGAAAAGUACAACAUGUCUAAAGAUGACUUUUCAACAUUGCCUGCUCCCGAGCGUUCUCACUACUUAGAAAAACGUAAUAUUGUAUGUUGUAGGGGUUCCCUCCUGCCCCUUUUCAUGAUGGUGAUAGCAGCCAUGUGAGUGCUAGCUAGGUAGCGACCGGAACAUUAAGCUAGCCAAGACCAACAACACAAACAAAAGGACUAUACAAAACAAGUUAAAUGUCUUGCCUGUGAUGAAAUGUUUUCCACACACAUAGCUACGUAUAGUCUACUUGGACACCACGUCCCCACAUUUCCCACUCUCCCACUCUGAAUACCCUGAAGCCUGAAGUGUGUGUAUGUGCUGUGUGCAAGUGUUAAACUUAAAGAACAUUGACAAGAGGCAGUAGGCCUACUUAAACAUUGGGAGCAUGAAUAGCUGUAUGUUACAGUGACUUUUGUGUUGUUUGUAGCGCCAUUAAAACAAUUCUGAUGCAGA